rnacentral:tRNA from 1 species
GGGGUUGUAGCUUGGUGGUAGAUCACUCACCUCACACAUGUGAGGCACUGGGUUCGAAUCUCAGCACCACA